UCCGGUUCGCCACCGGCAGUCCCGACAGAGGCCCCGACAGCCUUUCGGCCUCGCUGGCAACAGUCGGCAAGGGUUGCGCUCGUUGCGGGACUUAACCCAACACCUCACGGCACGAGCUGACGACAGCCAUGCAGCACCUCUACUGGCAACCGGCUUUACGGUUCAUUCGACUUUCAUCUCUUUACUACCAGCACUUCAAGCCCAGGUAAGGUUCUUCGCGUUGCAUCGAAUUAAACCACAUGAUCCACCGCUUGUGCGGGCCCCCGUCAAUUCCUUUGAGUUUCAACCUUGCGAUCGUACUCCCCAGGUGGUAUGCUUAAUAGGUUCCCUACGGCACUGAAGUAUUGCUACCCCAACACCAAGCAUACAUCGUUUACAGUGUGGACUAC
rnacentral:misc_RNA from 1 species